GGCAUCGUCUUCCUGCCCCGAUCCCAGCCCACUAGCCGCUCCGAGCCAAUCGCCCCACCCCGCGCCUCCUCGCUGCUGUGCCGCCGGCGAUGUGCGGCGCUCCCGGCCACGCGCCACUAGCCUCCUCCCGGCCACGCGCCCCGGCUACUCCUCCCUACUCCACUCCCCGUGAGUCGCGCCGCCCCCAACCACGUUGGGACUGGGACACGUCUCCUCCCAGCUCCGGCCCAUUGACCAGCGCAGCUCCUCCUCCAUGUGGCCUGCUGGUCGAGGGUCUGAUAAUGGACAUAACACAGCUACUGGAGAGGAGAUUAAAAUAUUGAAGAUAGCAACAGAGGGGGAAGCUGAGGCUGGUAGAUCCAUUGAGCAAGAGUGCCAGACCCAG
rnacentral:rRNA from 1 species